AGCCUCACGGGGCAGACAAGAGGACCUUUGUCUCCAAGGUUGCUGCCUAGAAUGUUCUCCAAGCCCCACAGAAAUCAGCAUCUCCAAGGGUUUAGAAAGCAAUGGGGAAGGAAAGCAAAGUGCGUCUAAAUGCAGAAUCUGCUCAUCUUCUGAGAGUCUGGGCGAACUUACUGGCUGCUCACUCAAAACCCUGAAGAACAAAUGGCUUUUGAAACAGCAAACCUGUGUUUCGUCAAAGGCAAAGUCAAGAACAGAGACACUGGACAGACUGUCAGCAUGCUCCUAUAAGAGCUUCCUUAGAGCUCAGGAACCACACAGCAAGGAGUACCCCAUCUUGGUGGGUGUGUCUGGGUAGCAGAGGAUGAGUGUGUGUUCAGAAGGGGUGGUGGAAGGGGAGAAAUAUAUGCCACAUUCGUACCCUCACCCAGUUUAUAAAGCUUUACUGGAUCAUA